UUAGGUCGACCCGCUGAAUUUAAGCAUAUCAAUAAGCGGAGGAAAAGAAACUAACAAGGAUUCCCUUAGUAACGGCGAGCGAACAGGGAAGAGCUCAGAACCGAAUCCCGUGGCGUGAUGCUACUGGGAAAUGUGGUGUUUGGGUGUUACUUUGUGGUGCGUUGCUGAUUCUAAGUUCACGUGAUUGUGGCUCAUAGCCCAAGGAGGGUGCAAGGCCCGUAAGGAUCGGCGAUGUGCUGCUUGGUGAUACCCUAGAGUCGGGUUGUUUGGAAAUGCAGCCCAAAGUGGUGGUAAACUCCAUCAAAAGCUAAAUACAAUACGAGUCCGAUAGCGAACAAGUACCAUGAGGUAAAGUUGAAAAGAACUUUGAAGAGAGAGUUCAAUAGUGCGUGAAACCGCUCAGAGGUAAGCGGGUGGAGCUGAAAGUGGUGUGGUGAUUGAGGUCUACUUAUGCGUUGUGGCUGGCUGGCAGAUCUUUACCGACUGUGGCUGGCUGCUAUCUGCGUUGGUCGGCUGUUUUUCCCAUGCCUUAACCACGAUCGGCGAUGUGUUGGUCUGUUGUCGGCGAAAGGUGGCCUGCGCCUCUCGGGGUGUUGGUGUUAUAGUUGCUGACGCGGAGCUGAUGCGUUGCUGAGCAUGGCGGUGCAAGUCCUCGGACGCACAAGUUGUCGCAUGGUGGCGGCCUUAGUGGGUGACUCGCAAGAGUUGCUCGUUAUGUGCUGCUGCUAGUGUGAUGGCCUCUGUGUUUUGUGCCUAUAAUCUGUGGUUUUUUGUAAGCUCUCUACCCGGCCCGUCUUGAAACACGGACCAAGGAGUCUAACUUGUACGCGAGUCAUUGGGUUCUACGAAACCUAAAGGCGCAUUGAAAGAGAAGGCUUGCACUCGUGAGCUGAGGUAUGAUCUAUGUCCUCUCGGGGAUGUGGCGCAAUACCGGCUUGUCUCAUGCUUUUUAAGUGAGGCAACGCAAGAGCGUACAUGAUGGUACCCGAAAGAUGGUGAACUAUGCUUGCAUAGGUUGAAGCCAGAGGAAACUCUGGUGGAGGACCGAAGCGCUUCUGACGUGCAAAUCGAUCGUCAAAUGUGAGUAUAGGGGCGAAAGACUAAUCGAACCAUCUAGUAGCUGGUUCCCUCCGAAGUUUCCCUCAGGAUAGCUGGCACUUGUGAAACAAACAGUUUUAUCCGGUAAAGCGAAUGAUUAGAAGUAUUGGGGACGAAAUGUCCUCAACUUAUUCUCAAACUUUAAAUGGGUAAGAAGCUGCACUCGCUUAAUUGGAGUGUGGCAUCGAAUGUGAGUGCCUAGUGGGCCAUUUUUGGUAAGCAGAACUGGCGAUGUGGGAUGAACCAAAAGCGGUGGUUAAGGUGCCUAAAUGAACGCUCAUGACAAACCACAAAAGGUGUUGGUUGAUAUAGACAGCAGGACGGUGGCCAUGGAAGUCGGAAUCCGCUAAGGAGUGUGUAACAACUCACCUGCCGAAUCAACCAGCCCUGAAAAUGGAUGGCGGUGGAGCGUUCUACCUAUACCGCGCCGUCACUGCAAAAAUUGCAAGGAAGUGGUGACGUGUAGGAGGGCGACGCGGUAAGCAUAGAAGCUACGGCUGUAAAGUCGAGUGGAGCUGCCGUGUGUGCAGAUCUUGGUGGUAGUAGCAAGUAUUCAAGUGAGAACCUUGAAGACUGAAGUGGAGAAGGGUUCC
rnacentral:rRNA from 1 species